rnacentral:rRNA from 1 species
GAUGAACGCUGGCGGCGUGCCUAAUACAUGCAAGUCGAGCGAACGGACGAGAAGCUUGCUUCUCUGAUGUUAGCGGCGGACGGGUGAGUAACACGUGGAUAACCUACCUAUAAGACUGGGAUAACUUCGGGAAACCGGAGCUAAUACCGGAUAAUAUUUUGAACCGCAUGGUUCAAAAGUGAAAGACGGUCUUGCUGUCACUUAUAGAUGGAUCCGCGCUGCAUUAGCUAGUUGGUAAGGUAACGGCUUACCAAGGCAACGAUGCAUAGCCGACCUGAGAGGGUGAUCGGCCACACUGGAACUGAGACACGGUCCAGACUCCUACGGGAGGCAGCAGUAGGGAAUCUUCCGCAAUAGGCGAAAGCCUGACGGAGCAACGCCGCGUGAGUGAUGAAGGUCUUAGGAUCGUAAAACUCUGUUAUUAGGGAAGAACAUAUGUGUAAGUAACUGUGCACAUCUUGACGGUACCUAAUCAGAAAGCCACGGCUAACUACGUG